UUCUUUCCGUUGUUUAUUUUCCUUUGCUUGAGUUCCUCCAUGAUGCGGUUGAGCCUUUUGUUACGUUAAGGAUAACGUGAUUAGCAGAUUGCACCUAUUUAUGCGAAUUCAUAUUUUUAUGAAUACGAUUAGAGAAACGAGAUACAAGAACAUUUUGUCUAGUAAAGAAUAUAACGAAUAUUCUAAUUUGAAUACUUUAUACUCAUUUUGCACAUCAUACUCAUUUUGUGUAUUUCAGUACCUUCAAAUUUCUUAUCAAUGCAUAAAAAUCUGCAGCCUAGCGAUCAACUUAGAUCAUUCUAUAGUAAAUCGAUUGAUAUUUUUUGUAUCGUACAAGAUGGUUCAGAAGGAAGUUUAAAUCUUACCUACGUACGAUACCGUGCACAAGUAUUUGGACAGCUGUCGCAAUUCGCUUAAAGAUUGAUAUUUUUUUAUAUUUCGAAAAAUAUGAUUGAAGAACGCUUCUUUACUGUUAUUACCUGUUAUAAGUAGGGUCAAAUUCCCUGAAAAAUUCAAAUUAAAACAAGACAUAUAUCUACAUCACUCAGGAAUCCCGUUUAUUACUAAUAAAUAUCUAACACUUCAUAAAAUCUAUAUAAACUUUUAGAAUGUAGCUGGAAACAUAUAGUUGUUCCAAUCGCGAUAACACACCAACAUUGAAUGAUUAUUAAUCUCUGUAGGACUAGUAUUCAUUCACCUUCGAUUAUUGCUCUUUUAAUUCUACUAACUAAUAUCAAUUAUUGCUAUUUAUUUAUAAUUAUUGCUAAUUAUUUGUCAAUAUCUAUUAACAAUAUGUAUAUGGUUGCCUGAGAUAAGAUCGAAAGCAAAAAUUAGAUUAAAAUGUUUCAUUUAAAACAUAUUUUAUAUAUCUGUAAUAAUUUAGAAGUACGGUUUCAUGUAACAUUUAAAUUAAAUUAUCAAGGAAACGAUUAAUCAGAAUUUUGUAUUCAUGAAACAGAUUGUGAUUCAAUAUUGGAAAAUGUUCUUAAAACCAUUUGCAAGAGUUAUAUUAUUAUAAUAAAUCAUAAUAAUUAUGAAAUCCUUCUGGAAGGACAAGCAAGAGUUAGAAUAAACAAAGGGGUCCAAAGAUAACCUGUUGAUGUUGAAUACCAAAAAAGCACUUCAACUAAAAGGAAGAAAUGGGAAAUUACUAGCAGCAUUCAUAGAUUUUCCAAAAUUCUCAAAGCCGUUUUGCAUGAAACUGAGUUCGUAAUUUUCUCUCGAAUAUGGAUUUUCUAGUUUAGUUUGUUGUCCAAAUGAAGACUAAGAGGACCGACAAAAACAUUGAAACCUGGCCAAUUUUUAAUAUAUUAAAGAUCUAACGAAGCCUAACUGUGAAGAAUACCCAAAAUUGAAGACCCAAAGGGUAUAUAGCAGAAUUAUAGCUCAAGUAAGAUUGUCCACGAGGCAUGAGAUGUGGAUUGACUAUGAUAAUGGAAGUACGUUAAAAUUAAAUGACUGAGCUUUGCCGACUUUGUAAUAUGGACAAAGUAGAAAAUUUGAAUCAUCUUUUAAGUGUAUGCCCACAGCUCAAUAGAGCGAGGGGAGAAGAAUGGAAUUUUCCACAAAUGCUGAUUUUAAGAAACAUCCAGUAAGCAAAAGAGUUCGUGUACUUUAUCCAGGCAUUAAUGAAGAUAAUAGGGUUGGAAUCGUACAUUAAUCGUGUAACUAUCAUUUUGUUGAAACUAAGAUUCAAGGAUAAAUUUAUACUGUAUUAAAUAUAUAGAAAUUUAUUAUUAUAAUAUAAAUUAGAUUAGAUUAGAUUAAGAAAAUAGUAUUAAUUGUUAUGCAAAUAUCUAUCGAUGCAGGUAUAUAAGCAUAAACUAUAUAAUAUAUGCCAAACAAAUUUCUUGCAAUAGGCAUGUAGUCUAAUGAACGAUAAAUUUACUAUUAUUAUUAUUUAUUAUUAUUAUAUUUAUUUUCUCUAAUCUAAAUUCUAUUGAAAAAAUUCAAGGUCAUUUAUUAUUAAUUUUCGAUAAGAAGUAUAAAUCUAAAAAUUAAUAAUUUCUCGAUUGCAUUACAUUCAUUGUCCUUUCGAGGAUAUUGUCGAACACCUUUUUAAUAAAUUUAUUUUCCAUUUUCUACCAUUCUACUUAGAAAAACUUAAUUUCAAAAGCUAUUUAUUUUUUUGACACUUGUUCUUUUUAUGGCUCAUUUCGAACAAUUCCAUAUAUGUUCUGUAAGGUUUGUAUCAAGUUUAUAUUGAUUACAUUUCUAAAAAUUUAUUGAACUUAGGAAUGACUUGACACUAAGAAGAGGGUGUUUAAAUAUUCGUUUUUGUAUAACAGCCUGUGAAGACGAUUGCAAAGAUUAUGUUUGAUUAACAUUAUAAGAUCAGCAAUGUACAUGUAGCCUAAUCGUAAGACUUCUGCACAGUAUUAUAUUUAUGAAGUGAAACUAAUUAAAAAAGUUUUCAGUUUCAUUCAAUACAAAUACAGUAUCAAACAAAAGUAUCUUCGUAUAAAAUUCUUUGCAGAUCUGCAAAAAAUGUGAUUCUUUAUUUAAUGUUUUUGCAAAAUACAACUAUCGACUCUAAAGUUUAACUAUACUAUGAAUUAUGAAAUUUAAAGAUAGUUAUAAUAAAGAAAAUAGAUAAAAUACUCAUAGUCCGUUUUCAACGGAAUAAAAGCAUUGGCACACUUAAAAAAUUUGUUAUUACGUGUAUUCUACCUUCUAAAUAUUCUAAAUAUCCUUUUCUAAAUAUUCCCAAUUUUGUCACAUCUGUUAUCUCGCGGGAAGUUUCACCAUUCAAACUGAUUGUCAUUUUUUUAGUUAGUAAGAUUG